AUAAACUCAUCAUAAAGCUCAUCAAAGGCAUCUUGCAAUUCUCCAAAAGUAAAUUUAUUUUUGGAAGUGGUACAUACCUCAUUUUGUGUUUCUUUGUAUGCCAUGAGACACAAGUUUGCGUUCUCCUCUUCUUCUCCGUCACUAGAUUCGUCGCCGGAGUCACCUCCCCAAGAGAUAUAGGCCCUUUGCUUUUUGGCAACCUUCUUCUCUGUUUUGGUAUUUGGGCAAUUUGGUUUGAUAUGCCCGAUUUCUCCGCAUCCAUAGCAUUUUAAUUCACCUCCUUGUUUCUUAC
rnacentral:lncRNA from 1 species